rnacentral:rRNA from 1 species
AACGAACGCUGGCGGCGUGCCUAACACAUGCAAGUCGAACGAGAAAGUUUCCUUCGGGGAAUGAGUAAAGUGGCGCACGGGUGAGUAACACGUGGAUAAUCUACCUCUAAGUGAGGGAUAACUCCGCAAAAGCGGGGCUAAUACCUCAUAACAUUAUUUUCUCCUUGGAGGAGAUAGUCAAAGGUGGCCUCUGUUUCAAGCUACCGCUAAGAGAGGAGUCCGCGCCCCAUUAGUUUGUUGGUAAGGUAAUGGCUUACCAAGACUACGAUGGGUAGCUGGUCUGAGAGGAUGACCAGUCACACUGGAACUGAGACACGGUCCAGACUCCUACGGGAGGCAGCAGUGAGGAAUCUUGCGCAAUGGGGGAAACCCUGACGCAGCAACGCCGUGUGAGUGAUGAAGGCUUUCGGGUCGUAAAGCUCUGUUAGGUGGGAAGAAAAGUUCUCGACCAAUAAUCGAGAAUCU